AGAACGAACGCUGGCGGCAUGCCUAACACAUGCAAGUCGAACGCUCCUGGGGCUUCGGUCUCAGGGGAGUGGCGCACGGGUGAGUAGCGCGUGGGAACCUGCCCUGUUGUGGGGGAUAACCGAGGGAAACUUCGGCUAAUACCGCAUAAGCCGGUUGUCUUGAAAGAGAUGACCGGGAAAGAUUUAUCGCGACAGGAGGGGCCCGCGUCGGAUUAGCUAGUUGGUGGGGUAACGGCCCACCAAGGCAGUGAUCCGUAGCUGGUCUGAGAGGAUGAUCAGCCACACUGGGACUGAGACACGGCCCAGACUCCUACGGGAGGCAGCAGUGGGGAAUAUUGGACAAUGGGCGCAAGCCUGAUCCAGCAAUGCCGCGUGAGUGAUGAAGGCCUUAGGGUUGUAAAGCUCUUUCGCCCGCGACGAUGAUGACGGUAGCGGGAGAAGAAGCCCGGCUAACUUCGUGCCAGCAGCCGCGGU
rnacentral:rRNA from 1 species